rnacentral:lncRNA from 1 species
UUUUUUUUUUUUUUUUUUUUUUUUAGGGCCACACCUGCAGCAUACGGAAUUUCCCAGGCUAGGGGUUGAAUCUGAGCUGAGCUGCCAACCUACACCACAGCCAUAGCAGUGCCAGAUCCUUAACCCGCUGAGCAAGGCCAGGGAUUGAACCUGCAUCCUCAUGGAUACGAGUUGGGUUUGUUACCACUGAGCCACGAUGGGAACUCCUCAAGUAUAAACAUUUGGAAGGGCCCUUCCUGCCAGUUUCCAGGGCCCCAGGCAGAACUAUCUGGAUUGCUGGGACAACGCUAUGACUGUACAUUUGGUGGUUGUCCAGUUUGUCAGAUGGCUGAGGAGACAGACUCGGGGGCCCCUGGGGCUGCUCAGCAACGUGGGGGGGGGGCUUGGUGUGGAAGGAAGCAAGACAAGUUGCACAAGAAGCCAGGAGUGGAGAAUGGACCUCGUCAAAGGCUUGGUUGGAGAGGUCUGGGCAGGUGCGAGCCUGCACGAUGCUCAAAGGGCAGGAGCCAGCUACUGCCCCCCCCCCACCCCCCGGAAGGGUGUAGCCUCUUCCAGCCUCCCUAGGGCUUUCUCUGCUUUUAUGAUCUAUCUUUACCAAAAAUGUAUGACUUUUACCGUGACUCAGUACAAACAAUGCAGAAUUAUAUUCCAAAAUUUAUGUAGUCAAUUGUAGGUAUUUUUUCCCUGUUUCUUUUUACAGCUGCACCUGUGGCAUAUGGGGGUUCCUGGGCUGUGGUUUGAAUCAGAGGGGCAGCUGCCAGCCUACGCCACAGCCACAGCAACUCCAGAUCUGAGCCACACCUGCGACCUACCCCACAGGGCUCUCAGCAAUGCUGGCUCCUUAACCCACUGAGCGAGGCCAGGGAUUGAACCUGCCUCUUCAUGGACUCUACAUUGGGUUUUUAACCUGCUGAGCCACAACGGGAACUCCAAUUUUGGGUACUUUUGACCACUCCAUUGUAACUGCCGUUUUGUUUUCUCUCUCAGGGGCGGUGGCAGGGGGCCUUUCCUCCCUUUAUUCGCAAAGGUUUGCACUGCUUUGUCCCUGGCCCGUGUCCCUGCUCCCCCCUCCCCCACAAAAAAGGGAAAGAAAAUGCUCAAAGUCUAAUCUCAGAAGUCACUUGCUGAGGACACCAGGCCACCACUGAAUUCUGAUCACUUGGAUUUCUUGGAGUAGCCUCUUUUUCCGCUUGGAGGUGACAGACUCUGUUCCUGUGGGCCCUCAGGGCUCAGUCACCCCGCCUCUCACCUGUCUUGAUCACCACACGACCGAGGUCAGGGGUCCGUGGAGCAGAUGGGGCAAAGGAGGUGGGCCGGGUGGACCCUGGACUUUUGGGGUUUGGCGAGGAGCACCCCUCCUAGGGCUUCCAGGUCACGGCAGCCCUGCCCACCCAGGACUUGGGGACAUAGGGCAUUUUCCCAGGACAUGGUGAAGGGGGCCAGGUGACAUCUGGCAGAGAACACAAUGCCUGUCCCAGGGCUGGGGCUGGAAAUCCAGCCCCCCACCCCCACGGCCAUACCCCUGUUCCCUAGCAAAUGCACAGCAAGCUGGGCCAGGCAUCCGAAGACCUGUCCACUCUCCACUAAUUUACCACGUGGUCCCAGCUGCCCUCCUGAAAGUUUAGGUCCUGAUUAAACGCCCUCUAAGACCUCUUGCCAUUGCGAGGUUCUCAGACUGAUAAAUCCCUGGGAACUGCAGCCAGCUCCUUUCUGGGACUCACCCUCGAAAUUCGCUCUCCAGGACCAGAACAGCCCAGCCUCAGAGGCCUCUGGCUGGUCCAUCCCAGAGGGCUCAUCACAGGGGGUGUGGAUGCAGGGAGAUGCAGGGUAACCGUGCAACCUGCAGAGCCAACAGGGCCGGGUCUGAAUCACGGCUCCUCAGCCGUAGGUUCUCAGGCAUAUAGCCUGGCCUCCUCUUUCUCAACAGAAAAAAAAUGUAACUGCUGUGCACCUCUCUCCUGCCCCCGAGGGGUGAUUUGAGAAAUAAAUGAGAUACGAAUGGCACACAGCACGAAGAAGGUGCAUGAUAAUAACUGCAGGAAGAAUAAUCAUUGUUAGUGACGUCACUGCUAAUAACAGCGGGAAGGUCAAGCUCAGGGAGGAGGGGAGGACCCUUCGUCUGGAAGGCGCAGGCGGCACUGCAGAUAGCGGCUGAGUCUCGCCAGUCCCCAGGGAGGGAUUCUGGCGGAUGCUGUGGGCUGGCAGGCUGCCAAAUCUUUCAUUUAGAUCCAGCUGGAAAAUGGCCUGUUGUUUCUCCAGCCAAGUGGUCCUAGCCUGUCUUCCCUGCCUUUCUUCCUCGGCUCCUGGGGAACGC